rnacentral:lncRNA from 1 species
CUGAAAGGCUUGUAAGCCAGAAUAAGCAGAAAAGGAAGCAUUGUAACUUCUUAGGCAAGCAAUUGAUAUAGUAAAAAUGAAUUAUGUGUUCAUAAACAAUGUAAAAGAUAAAAAACAUUUAUCUGUCACAACUUCCCAACUAUGCUAUUGUGGAUCAAAAGCAGCUAUAGACAAUAUGUAAAUGAAGGACUAUGAUUGAUGUUUGACUAGGAAUCAUAAUCCCUGUGGUAGUUACUAUAAUUUUAUAGACGUGAGCAUUUGUUAGAUGGCCUCCCCUCCCACGUCUGCCAUCACUGACAGUGAAAGUCAGCCAGUGACCCUGAAUUGUCUGCCAUUUCUCUCUCCUCUUUGCCCUUGUCAUCCAAUAAGUCUCCCAGCUCUGCCAAUUUUCCUCAGUUUGAGUUUUCAGAUUUUAGCACCUGUAAUAACUGCCCAAGGCUAGG